rnacentral:rRNA from 1 species
UACAGAGACUGCAAGCGUUAAUCGGAAUUACUGGGCGUAAAGCGCGCGUAGGCGGCUUUGCAAGCCGGAUGUGAAAUCCCCGGGCUUAACCUGGGAACUGCAUUCGGGACUGCAUUGCUAGAGUAUGGGAGAGGGAAGUGGAAUUUCAGGUGUAGCGGUGAAAUGCGUAGAUAUCUGAAGGAACAUCAGUGGCGAAAGCGACUUCCUGGACCAAUACUGACGCUCAUGUGCGAAAGCGUGGGGAGCAAACAGG